rnacentral:lncRNA from 1 species
UUUCCACAGGGCGCAGUGCUUUCAUUGGCAUUGGCUUCACAGAUCGGGGAGAUGCCUUCGACUUUAAUGUCUCCUUGCAGGAUCACUUCAAGUGAGUGAAGCUUGUCCUUAGUUACGAGGCUGAAUGCUUAUAGGAAUGCUGCUUCUCACAUGAAUGGGCAGUAUCUCUUUUCCUCCUGGUUUCUUUGUUUCUUAAACUAUUUCAUUGUGAAUAUAAAUCUCCCCAUUCACUUUUGUUUCCUUAGGUCAUCUUUGUAUCUAUUCUGUUUCCUUUCCUUAUAGCCUGCAAUAUAUUUCAGAUCCCUUGUGCAGUAGUUUGAAAUGAUGCUCUGUCGAAUUUGCCCCGUCUUUUAGGUGGUAGAGGGAGGCCUAUGGUAACAGCAGGGCUUUAUGUGGGGAGUCGUGUGCCACUCUUGUUACCUUAUGUAGCUGACAUGUUUUGUGACUUUUGCAACAUUUCUUUAGCCCACUUGAUUUUGGUGCAGCUGUGGUUGACAGCACUGUGCACACUGUCAGCUUCCUACCUCAAGAGCAAGCAUAUCUCUCCUUUUCUGCCUUAGGACUCUCUGAAGUUAUAGAAAGCUAAGAGCAAGCUUUAACUUGGAAAGACUAAGAAACUAACACCCCCUCAGGAGCAGCCCUCAACUGUGGGGAAUGGGAAUUGGUGGCUAAAUACCAUCCUUCUGGAAGGGGCAAUUCUAAUACGUAUUCCGUGAGAUUUCUCAGAGAGUCCCCAGUGGAAUUGAACCCCAGUUGUUUUCUUUCUUGGCUUUUUUCCCUUCUGUUUCUCACUCUUUUUUAUCUCUCACUGUGUUUUCUGGAAUCUCAUUUCAUAAAAGUAAAUACACCCAAAUUUGUAUGUCAGACUCUGCUUUCAGGAAAUCUCAAACUAAGAUAACUUGCUGUGUUCCCAAAGGUGGGUAAAGCAGGAAUCUGAGAUUUCCAAGGAAUCUCAAGAAAUGGAUGCUCGUCCUAAGUUGGAUCUGGGCUUCAAGGAAGGACAAACCAUCAAGUUGUGUAUCGGGGUGAGUAUGGUUUUUAAAAAUUUUGUUUUCCUGUGCUUCCAUAAGCCUAUGACAUCUUUCUCUUGCUCUUCUUUUUUUCUUUUGUAGAACAUUACAAACAAGAAAGGAGGUGCUUCUAAGCCCAGGACUGCAAGGGGUGGGGGUCUGAGCUUACUCCCACCCCCGCCAGGAGGCAAAGUCACUAUUCCCCCACCAUCCUCCUCAGUUGCCAUCAGCAAUCAUGUCACCCCACCACCCAUUCCGAAAUCUAACCAUGGAGGCAGUGAUGCAGAUAUCCUUUUAGAUUUGGAUUCUCCUGCUCCUGUCACGACACCAGCACCAACUCCAGUUUCUGUAAGCAAUGACUUGUGGGGAGACUUCAGCACUGCCUCCAGCUCUGUUCCAAACCAGGCACCACAGCCAUCCAACUGGGUCCAGUUCUGAAUGGCAUUGGCAGGACAUUAAGGACAGACUUGAGGAAUAAAAAUGACCUUGAGGGCACCAAUCUGUGAGGGAAGUUAGGAACCCAUUUCCUCCCCAGAACCAGAAUGACUGGACAAUCUUUUUCAUAGCUUCUCCAUCACAUUCAAGCUGGUUUAUGUCACUCCCCUGUGUUGUUACUUGUACAGCCAAGAAAGUAUCUGUUAUCUCCUGCGUAGUACCAAGGUAGGGGACUAGUGGAUCUUAUCAUAGUUUUGGCUGACUAUGCAGGGCUUAAAAGGCCAGCGUCUGUUUGAGGGGGAAUGACCUCUAACAUCUGUAAAAUUUGUCUCAUCUUUUAAUUUCUUUAACUUAUUUCAAAAUCAUCUCAUGACCCUUGUGUGCCUCUUUGUGAAGCCCUAUUUAGCAAUUUCAGGGGAGUCAAAAACCUUGCAACUUCCUUCUCCACUAACCCAGGACUAAAAAUGGACAGGCUGACCUCAGUGUUUACAAAUUCAGAAUUUUGAUAGGGGUAGAUAUGGAGAAAGACCUAUUUCCUGGGUCUCUGCUGUGUAGUCUCCUUCAGGCUUAUUGUGCUCAGUGAACAUCCAGUGCUGGGUGCAGCUCCAUCACCCUCUUGUGUGUUUACAUGUCUCUUUCUAUGAUAAGAGGGUUGUGUUGGUGGCACCUCCACUACUCUUUUCUGUUUGUUGAGUUUGAAUUGUGUUAACAUCUUUGAUCAGUGGGUGUAUCUGUAAUGAAGGAGGUUCAAGAGGCUGUGCUUUCCAAGUGAUAGUCUAUAGGAGUGUUUAAUUUCUUGCAGCUCCAUCUGGUUGCUGCAUUUGAAGCAUGGCAUUAAUUUGUAUUUGCCCUGUUCUUUGACCUAAAGUUGAAGGGUUUAGAGUUUUUAACCUGAUCUGUAGAGCAGAGAGGUUGAAAGCACUUAACUCUUGUUUAGUAUCCUCAUUGCCUUGCUGCCUGGGUAUCUGGCCCCUUUCCAUAAACAUUUCUUUUCAGUUCAUGUAGUUCUUUAAUAGAAAGCUGCUAUUAUGUAUAUUGUCAUUUGUGAAGGAAGUUGGAGAGUCACAGCUUUACUGUGACAGGUUUUGCCCAAGGCUUUGAUACCUGUCACCCAGGGUAUCUUAAAAGCAAGUUGUUCUCCCACUACUUUCCUUUCCCUCUGCCCUGCCAUUCCUAUUACAAUGCUGUGAAAAAAGUUCUGCUUCUUAGGUGAAUGGGUACUUUCUAUUUUGUUUCUAAACGAGCAAUUUUGAGGAUGAAAUGGGAAGAUAUCAUUGCUUCCUUUUUGCACCUAUUGGGUAUGUACACUCUGGCCGAAGGGAGUCCUUAUGUUUAGUUUCAAAAUAUAUUACUUUCCUGGAUUCUCUUCUUCACUUUUUCUGACUUUGGGUCCAUUUUCUUUUCAUUGCCUCCUUUUCCAGGCAGCUCUAUUCUUGCAGAGCCAUAGCAGGACAUGUUAAAAUUCCAAUAGAAAACACUAAAAGGAAAGUCUGUGGAAUCACUAGUGACUAAAUACUGGGAACCUAUUUUCUCAAUCUUCCUCCAUGUUGUGUUCUUUGUAUUCUUGAGAUGAUAAUAUAUUAUGUAUUUGAAUUCCUGAAAAAUGGAAAAUGUUUAAGAUAUAUGUAUAUAAAGUGUAUGCUGUAUUGGUGCAAUAAUGGUAAUUAAAAAUAUGAAAAAAGUG